rnacentral:rRNA from 1 species
AAAUUGAAGAGUUUGAUCAUGGCUCAGAUUGAACGCUGGCGGCAGGCCUAACACAUGCAAGUCGAACGGUAACAGGAAGCAGCUUGCUGCUUCGCUGACGAGUGGCGGACGGGUGAGUAAUGUCUGGGAAACUGCCUGAUGGAGGGGGAUAACUACUGGAAACGGUAGCUAAUACCGCAUAACGUCGCAAGACCAAAGAGGGGGACCUUCGGGCCUCUUGCCAUCGGAUGUGCCCAGAUGGGAUUAGCUUGUUGGUGGGGUAACGGCUCACCAAGGCGACGAUCCCUAGCUGGUCUGAGAGGAUGACCAGCCACACUGGAACUGAGACACGGUCCAGACUCCUACGGGAGGCAGCAGUGGGGAAUAUUGCACAAUGGGCGCAAGCCUGAUGCAGCCAUGCCGCGUGUAUGAAGAAGGCCUUCGGGUUGUAAAGUACUUUCAGCGGGGAGGAAGGGAGUAAAGUUAAUACCUUUACUCAUUGACGUUACCCGCAGAAGAAGCACCGGCUAACUCCGUGCCAGCAGCCGCGGUAAUACGGAGGGUGCAAGCGUUAAUCGGAAUUACUGGGCGUAAAGCGCACGCAGGCGGUUUGUUAAGUCAGAUGUGAAAUCCCCGGGCUCAACCUGGGAACUGCAUCUGAUACUGGCAAGCUUGAGUCUCGUAGAGGGGGGUAGAAUUCCAGGUGUAGCGGUGAAAUGCGUAGAGAUCUGGAGGAAUACCGGUGGCGAAGGCGGCCCCCUGGACGAAGACUGACGCUCAGGUGCGAAAGCGUGGGGAGCAAACAGGAUUAGAUACCCUGGUAGUCCACGCCGUAAACGAUGUCGACUUGGAGGUUGUGCCCUUGAGGCGUGGCUUCCGGAGCUAACGCGUUAAGUCGACCGCCUGGGGAGUACGGCCGCAAGGUUAAAACUCAAAUGAAUUGACGGGGGCCCGCACAAGCGGUGGAGCAUGUGGUUUAAUUCGAUGCAACGCGAAGAACCUUACCUGGUCUUGACAUCCACAGAACUUUCCAGAGAUGGAUUGGUGCCUUCGGGAACUGUGAGACAGGUGCUGCAUGGCUGUCGUCAGCUCGUGUUGUGAAAUGUUGGGUUAAGUCCCGCAACGAGCGCAACCCUUAUCCUUUGUUGCCAGCGGUCCGGCCGGGAACUCAAAGGAGACUGCCAGUGAUAAACUGGAGGAAGGUGGGGAUGACGUCAAGUCAUCAUGGCCCUUACGACCAGGGCUACACACGUGCUACAAUGGCGCAUACAAAGAGAAGCGACCUCGCGAGAGCAAGCGGACCUCAUAAAGUGCGUCGUAGUCCGGAUUGGAGUCUGCAACUCGACUCCAUGAAGUCGGAAUCGCUAGUAAUCGUGGAUCAGAAUGCCACGGUGAAUACGUUCCCGGGCCUUGUACACACCGCCCGUCACACCAUGGGAGUGGGUUGCAAAAGAAGUAGGUAGCUUAACCUUCGGGAGGGCGCUUACCACUUUGUGAUUCAUGACUGGGGUGAAGUCGUAACAAGGUAACCGUAGGGGAACCUGCGGUUGGAUCACCUCCUUACCUUAAAGAA